rnacentral:tRNA from 1 species
GCGCCGGUGGUGCAAUGGUGUAGAGCAUUCCCGCCCGAUCAGCAGGAGGUGCGGGUUCGAGUCCGCCUGGUGCC